UGGAGGCGCCAACCGGAUUUGAACCGGUGAUAAAGGUUUUGCAGACCUCUGCCUUACCACUUGGCUAUGGCGCC
rnacentral:tRNA from 2 species